GCCCCAGCUGGCAGUGGCAAUCCUCUCCGGUCCCCUUCCGGGCUGUGGGAGCUUUGUUCUUUUGCUCUUUGCAAUAAAUCUUGCUGCUGCUCGCUCUUUGGGUCCACAUUGCCUUUGUGAGCUGUAACACUCACGGCGAAGGUCUGCAGCUUCACUCCUAAAGCCAGAGAGACCACAAACCCACCGGGAGGAACGAACAACUCCAGACGCGCGGCCUUAAGAGCUGUAACACUCACCGCGAAAGUCUGCAGCUUCACUCCUAAAGCCAGCGAGACCACGAACCCACCAGGAGGAACGAACAAUUCCAGAUGCGCCGCCUUAGGAGCUGUAACACUCACCGCGAAGAUCUGCAGCUUCACUCCUGAGCCGGCGAGACCACGAACCCCACCAGAAGGAAGAAACUCCGGACACGCCGCCUUUAAGAACUAUAACACUCACGGCGAGGGUCCACGGCUUCAUUCUUGAAGUCAGUGAAACCAAGAACCCACCAAUUCCGGACACAGCAGGAUCCCACCCACAGAACCGCCAGGUGCACAGCUGCAUAUCCUCAGGGGAAAACUCCCCUCCCCUGCCACCUUACUGAUAGGCUUCACUUCCCAGAGAACUUUCCCAAUCCUGUGCAAUGCCUGAGUGGUACAUUGUAUUCUAUGAGAAUGGCGCCCCCGCCUCCAGAGUUGUGCAACAAGACUUCCAUGAAUCAAAGCCCAUCGCUGGCUGCCUCCUCUAGCCCUGCAUAGCCCAGGUACAUCUGAAAGGAGUGAGAAGUGUUUUGAGGGCUCUCCCUGUCUCUUCCUGCACCUCUCUCUUGUGAUCCCAGAAGCUACAACCUCAGCCCAGAUUAGCAGGCUGAGGGGUCAGGAGGCUGUCACUGGAGCUGUUGAGCUCAUGAACACGCCGAAGUUGCUGCGCUCCAGAAAUGUGGAAGUUGGAAUGAAGAGCCACCACUGCUGCCACCAACAUGAAGCUUGACCAAGCAAGCCAAGAAAAGAUGGCCAAGAGCCUCUGCCUUCCUUCUGCCUUCUGCAACGCAAUGAUGAGGAAACAGAUGCUCAGAGAGAUCACACUGCUAGGAAUUGGUGAAUCCAGAAUUUGAGUCCAGUUUGUUUAGCUCCCAGUCCCAGGUCCUUCCCACAUGUUCAUGAUCUUGUGUCCUUUUGCAUCCCCAGCCCACAGGACAAAAACCUUGUCAUGCUUGGGGUCAGGUUCUGGCCCCAGCUGAGGGCUGAGGGGAGUGGGUGGACACAGGGCAGGGAGCUGGAAGAACACCUGAGAGACAGCAUGUAAGUGAGACAUGGCUUUAUUCAGCAGCCCCUUUACAGGGUCAGUGUUACAUUUAUACACUACACAGACAAUAGUGGCUGAGAGCCAGGUGGUGAGCUUCUCUAUGUUAUGUCUACAUGGCUAUGAUUGUAUAAGACACGAGACUGCACUUGCGCCCCAAUACUGCUGAGUCAUUUAGGCUGUUUACCUUGACCUAUGCCUGCUGCUCUAUGCCUGCUUGGCUGCAGCACAGCCAUGUUCCUUACAGACCUUCAGAUGGAGAUUUGCAAUGAGUGCACUAAAAGAGACUCCAUGUCAGAUGCCAAUCUCUGGGCCAAAUCUUUGUGGGAUACUUUACUCAUAGUAGGAACUGCAGGACCACUACUUCCACUGGAGCAUUUGUGUGUGUGUGUGUGUGUUUGUGUGUGUGUGUGUGCGUGUGUGUGUUUUCAUGUGUGGGACAUUCUUUUUGAAAAUGAACAUGGUGGGAAAUUAUGGUCUCACCCUCAAAAUCCAACCAAAUUCUCAGCAAACCCCAGAUUGUGUAGGUUGUAGGAAAGAAGCAUGUUAGUUUUGGCAGAAAUACUCUUAGUCUGGCAGUAAAUUUCUUAAAACAUAAAAAUGCUUUUUAACAUCCUGUUUUUGUCCUCCUUUUGUUGAUUUUUGAGCAUUUCUUCCCAAGCAAGGAAUUAUGUAGCAAGAUUUGAAAAUUACCAAACUUUAUUUUGUUAGUUUUCUUUGGUUCCUUUUCUAUGUUUCUGUAUACGUUAUCUGCUUUAAACUUUAAACUCAAGGAUUAAAGUGACUCUAAAGCACUUCGGAGUGAUCCAGGAACCACAUGGGGCUGGAUAGCAGUUUCCUAGAGCAAAAUGACAAGCCCUGAAAAGCUUACUGUAGGCCAUCGAGUUCAUACAUGGCCCCCUGUCAGUGGGUAGAUAAGCUGUGAACCUAGGAAUAUGGAUGCCUGUGAUAACUGGUCCUCACUCUUCUUCCUAGACAAAGUUUCAGAUCUCUGUGUCUUUCUGGGCAUCUUCGAAAACUUCCAUUCCCCAUUUGCCAUGUAAGCCAGACUCAUGUAGAAGUUAGGAUUUGUAGACCCUGGAGGUAAACAGCUUCCUCCAGAACCUUGUUCUGCCUCUUAGUAGCUGUGUAAUCUUGGGCAAGUUACUUAACCUCUCUAGGGCUCAGUUUCCUUACCUGUAAAAUGGAAAUAAAGCA
rnacentral:lncRNA from 1 species